UACGGGGGGGGGCAAGCGUUUGUUCGGAAUUACUGGGCGUAAAGGGCGCGUAGGCGGUUCGCUAAGUUGAAUGUGAAAACUCUGGGCUUAACCCAGAGCCUGCAUUCAAUACUGGCGGGCUAGAGUUCUGGAGGGGAUAGCGGAAUUCCUGGUGUAGCGGUGAAAUGCGUAGAUAUCAGGAGGAACACCGGUGGCGAAGGCGGCUAUCUGGACAGAGUCUGACGCUGAUGCGCGAAAGCUAGGGGAGCAAACAGG
rnacentral:rRNA from 1 species